UACGUAGGGUGCGAGCGUUUGUCCGGAAUUACUGGGCGUAAAGAGCUCGUAGGUGGUUUGUCGUCGUUGUUCGUGAAAACUCACGGCUUAACUGUGAGCGUGCGGGCGAUACGGGCAGGACUGGAGUGACUGCAGGGGAGACUGGAAUUCCUGGUGGUAGCGGUGGAAUGCGCAGAUAUCAGGAGGAACACCGGUGGCGA
rnacentral:rRNA from 1 species